UACGGAGGAUCCAAGCGUUAUCCGGAUUUAUUGGGUUUAAAGGGUGCGUAGGCGGAUUGAUAAGUUAGAGGUGAAAUGUCCGAGCUCAACUCGGGAACUGCCUCUAAUACUGUUGAUCUAGAGAGUAGAUGCGGUAGGCGGAAUGUAUGGUGUAGCGGUGAAAUGCUUAGAGAUCAUACAGAACACCGAUUGCGAAGGCAGCGUACCGGCAUCCAACUGACGCUGAGGCACGAAAGCGUGGGGAUCAAACAGG
rnacentral:rRNA from 1 species